GUCUCUGUGACACAAUCGGUUAGCGCGUUCGGCUGUUAACUGAAAGGUUGGUGGUUCAAGCCCACCCAGGGACG
rfam:Danio rerio chromosome 4, GRCz11 reference primary assembly.